CUUGAACGCUGGCGGCAGGCUUACCACAUGCAAGUCGAGCGAUGGGCGGACGGGUGAGUAAUGUCUGGGAAACUGCCUGCUGGAGGGGGAUAACUACUGGAAACGGUAGCUAAUACCGCAUACCCUAAGAUGUGCCCCGAUGGGAUUAGCUAGUAGGUGGGGUAAUGGCUCACCUAGGCGACGAUCCCUAGCUGGUCUGAGAGGAUGACCAGCCACAAUGGAACUGAGACAAGUUCCAGACUCCUACGGGAGUCAGGAGUGGGGAAUAUUGCACAAGGGGGGCAAGCCUGAUGCAGCCAUGCCGCGUGUGUGAAGAAGGCCUUCGGGUUGUAAAGCACUUUCAGCGAGGAGGCGUUACUCGCAGAAGAAGCACCGGCUAACUCCGUGCCAGCAGCCGCGGUAAUUC
rnacentral:rRNA from 1 species